UUACUGCUGCUACUUCGCCGCGGGCUCACCACCCGAACCACCUCCACCGCACUGUGUUGAUUGAUGGGCACCUUCAAAGUAGAAAUAGAUGUUAAGUCAUACUUGACGAUUCUAGAUGGUCGAAGAGUGUACCAAAGGGGAAAAACAUGGGAUUUUGAUGUGGGUCGGGACUUGUCCGUGGCG